GUUAUUAAAGCAAAGAGGAUACACCUGUUCCCAUUCCGAACACAGAAGUUAAGCUCUUUAGCGCCGAUGGUACUUGGUGGGAAGCUGCCUGGGAGAGUAGGACGUAGCCGCGU
rnacentral:rRNA from 1 species